rnacentral:rRNA from 1 species
GAUGAACGCUGGCGGCGUGCUUAACACAUGCAAGUCGAACGAAGCCCUCGGGCUUAGUGGCGGACGGGUGAGUAACGCGUGAGAAUCUACCUUCGAGAUGGGGACAACCGUUGGAAACGACGGCUAAUCCCCAAUAAGCCGAAAGGUGAAAGGGUUUCCGCUCGCAGAGGAGCUCGCGUCCGAUUAGUUAGUUGGUGGGGUAAGAGCCUACCAAGGCAGCGAUCGGUAGCUGGUCUGAGAGGAUGAGCAGCCACACUGGGACUGAGACACGGCCCAGACUCCUACGGGAGGCAGCAGUGGGGAAUUUUCCGCAAUGGGCGCAAGCCUGACGGAGCAACGCCGCGUGUGGGAAGAAGGCUCUUGGGCUGUCAACCACUUUUCUCAGGGAAGAAGUCCUGACGGUACCUGAGGAAUCAGCCUCGGCUAACUCCGUGCCAGCAGCCGCGGUAAUACGGAGGAGGCAAGCGUUAUCCGGAAUUAUUGGGCGUAAAGCGUCCGCAGGGGGCACUUCAAGUCUGCUGUCAAAGGUCGGAGCUUAACUCCGGUUCGGCAGUGGAAACUGGAGGGCUAGAGGGCGACAGGGGUAGAGGGAAUUCCCAGUGUAGCGGUGAAAUGCGUAGAGAUUGGGAAGAACACCGGUGGCGAAAGCGCUCUACUGGGUCGCACCUGACCCUCAGGGACGAAAGCUAAGGUAGCGAAAGGGAUUAGAUACCCCUGUAGUCUUAGCCGUAAACGAUGGAUACUAGGCGUGGUUUGUAUCGACCCAAGCCGUGCCGAAGCUAAACGCGUUAAGUAUCCCGACUGGGGAGUACGCACGCAAGUGUGAAAC